AGUCUUAUAUUCAUAUGAUGAUAAUAGAAUGCAAUUCUGUAGGAGUAAACUAGAUUUGCUAAGACUU
rnacentral:tRNA from 1 species